rnacentral:snoRNA from 1 species
AAAUGGUUUUAAUGGGACUAUCAAAUCAAGCCCUCUUAAGGGGACACUAAAAGGUGAAGUUCCCAGAAGGAUGUCAGUUACUCAAGAGUGCCAAUGUAGUCCUGAGGCGACAUUAGA